UACGUAGGUGGCAAGCGUUAUCCGGAAUUACUGGGCGUAAAGCGCACGCAGGCGGUCUUUUAAGUUUGACGUGAAAGCUCCCGGCUUAACUGGGAGAGGUCGUUGAAUACUGGAAGACUUGAGGCAAUGAGAGGGGUGUAGAAUUCCCGGUGUAGUGGUGAAAUGCGUAGAUAUCGGGAGGAACACCAGUGGCGAAGGCGACUACCUGGCCUGUUCUUGACGCUGAGGCGCGAAAGCUAGGGGAGCAAACGGG
rnacentral:rRNA from 1 species